rnacentral:lncRNA from 1 species
UAUCUCCUUGUUUUGUUAUCGUUAAAACACUCUUUUUUUUUAUAAAUGAAAUGAUAUUUUUAUCAUCACAAAUAUGUCCUUCGAAAAGUCCUAAUUAUUAAUUAAAAAGAUACAAAAAGAUCAAUUCACCUUAAUAACUAAUUAGGGUUAAAAGUUUUAUUUAUAGUUAACUAAUUUUUUCUAACGGAUCCUAACGGCGGAGACAUAUUUGAAAACAUCAGGACUUUUGUAGUGACAAUAUAUAAAAGUUGAAUUUUGUAAAAAUAUAUUUGUAAUUCACUAUAUUUGUAGGGACCUAUAUGAAAUUAACCUAAAA